rnacentral:rRNA from 1 species
UACGUAGGGUGCAAGCGUUGUUCGGAAUUAUUGGGCGUAAAGCGCGUGUAGGCGGCUUAUUAAGUCAGAUGUGAAAUCCCUGGGCUCAACCGAGGAAGUGCAUUGAAACUAGUGAGCUGGAGAGUGGUAGAGGAAGGUGGAAUUCCGUGUGUAGAGGUGAAAUUCGUAGAUACACGGAGGAAUACCGGUGGCGAAGGCGGCCUUACUGGACCAUUUCUGGACGCUAAGACGCGAAAGCGUGGGGAGCAAACAGG